rnacentral:rRNA from 1 species
GAUGAACGCUGGCGGCGUGCUUAACACAUGCAAGUCGAACGGAAAGGCUCCUGCUUGCGGGGGUCCUCGAGUGGCGAACGGGUGAGUAACACGUGGGUGAUCUGCCCUGCACUUCGGGAUAAGCCUGGGAAACUGGGUCUAAUACCGGGUAGGACCACAUGUUGGAUGGUGUGGUGGAAAGUUUUUCGGUGUGGGAUGAGCUCGCGGCCUAUCAGCUUGUUGGUGGGGUAAUGGCCUACCAAGGCGUCGACGGGUAGCCGGCCUGAGAGGGUGUACGGCCACACUGGGACUGAGAUAAGACACAGACUACUACGGGAGGCAGCGGUGCGGUAGAGUGCACAAUGGGCGCAAGCCUGAUGUAGCGAAGCCGCGUGGGGGAUGACGGCCUUCGGGUUGGAAACUACAUUCGUUAGGGACGAAGCGCAAGUGACGGUACCUGGAGAAGAAGCACCGGCUAACUACGUG